ACUUUCUUGUUUCUCUUACCGAUAAUCAAAGAAACAACCCAAAACAACGACUUUGCUGGUUCUGCUUGAGGGUUGACGUCUCUAAUCUUCCUCUCUCCGGCAUUCUAGUCCUCCAACGAUUCAAGCCAGUCACUGGAGAAUAUUUCCGGCGAAUGAGGAAUUUUCAGAAUUGGAGGUCGAAGUUAGACUCUCAAUUCAAGAUCUACCAGAAUGUAUUUGCUACCCUCCAGUUCUUAAGAUGAUUAUAGUGUGCUUCUGUUCAGGUACUCAAGAGAGACUCAAUGGGUGCAUUGGUUAUUCAAUCUUGAAACAUCUUUAACGAAAAUUUUUGAAUCUACUGAUGGCCUUAUGAGAUGGGUGUCGUUGCUAUCCUAAGAAAUGGAGAGGUUCUUGGGAGGCAAGCUGUUCUAAAAAAUGAUCAUAGUCCUGGUUGCCAAAACCACAGUUUUCCCGAGACCGUGUAGUGAGCACCCAAUUUCAAAGAAGUUCCUGGAAUUCCAACUCAACCAUCGAUGGUAUUUGAGCUGUUAUUCACAGGGAUAGUAGCUUUAAAGGUGGUAAACCAGUUUUUUUGGUACAAUAUGAGAGAAAAGCCUGUUAUCAAACCAUUUGUACUUUGUGAGGUGGAAAGGCCAUGCAAAAAUAUGCUGGAGUACACGGUAAAUUUCUAUAUUCUGUAUCAAAUUAUCAAUUAUAUGAUCAGAACUAGGUAAUUGAGGCGAGUAUAUAAGGUGUAAGUUUGUUUCAGUACAAAAUCUAAAUAUGAUGUAUCGUAGUGAAUGUGAUGUGUCAAAUAAAAAUCCUAUCUUAAAUAUGUAAUAUUAAAUAUGUCAUGUAUCAAACAAAACAAUUAGAUGAUAUCAUGGUAUUUCAUGGAACACAUCAGUUCCAUGUAACACUGGCUGGUAUGUUGCUUAAAAUGUUACAUCAUA